AUACUUACCUGGCAGGGGAGAUGCCAUGAUCACAAAGGUGGUUUUCCCAAGGUGAGGCUUAUCCGUUGCACUCUGGAUGUGCUGACCCCUGUCAUUUCACCAAAUGUGGGAAACUCGACUGCAUAAUUUGUGGUAGUUGUAGACUGCAUUCACACUCUCCCC